CCGAGUCGUUGAAACGAGCUGUUGCUGGUCCUCAAACACUGGGGACAUGUGCACGCUCUGUUCACACAUCCACUCACACCUGUGCACCCUCUGUAGUUCUAUGGUCUGGGGGACACCAGUCUUCCUCCUGUAGCUCUACAUUUUUACACAUACACCGUAGCAAAGUCUUUUGGAAUGUGCACCGCGUUUAACGCAAUACAAUA
rnacentral:misc_RNA from 1 species